AGUUUGAUCAUGGCUACAGAACGAACGCUGGCGGCAGGCCUAACACAUGCAAGUCGAGCGAACCCUUCGGGGUUAGCGGCGGACGGGUUAGUAACGCGUGGGAAUAUACCCUUUGGUACGGAAUAGCCUCGGGAAACUGAGAGUAAUACCGUAUGUGCCCUUCGGGGGAAAGAUUUAUCGCCAAAGGAUUAGCCCGCGUUGGAUUAGAUAGUUGGUGGGGUAAUGGCCUACCAAGUCUACGAUCCAUAGCUGGUUUGAGAGGAUGAUCAGCAACACUGGGACUGAGACACGGCCCAGACUCCUACGGGAGGCAGCAGUGGGGAAUCUUAGACAAUGGGCGCAAGCCUGAUCUAGCCAUGCCGCGUGGACGAUGAAGGCCUUAGGGUUGUAAAGUCCUUUCAGAUGGGGAGAUAAUGACGGUACCAUCAGAAGAAGCCCCGGCUAACUCCGUG
rnacentral:rRNA from 1 species